UUUAGGACUGUCUCCUCUGGUUU
rnacentral:miRNA from 1 species